GGCUGGUCCAAAGGUAGCAAGCUAUCCAAUUGGUUGUUCCCACUCAGUUACAGAGUUACAGAUGCAACUCCUUGUUCUACUUUCUCCUCCCUUCUCACUACUGUACUUGACUAGUCUUAA
rnacentral:Y_RNA from 1 species